UACGUAGGGUGCGAGCGUUGUCCGGAAUUAUUGGGCGUAAAGGGCUCGUAGGCGGUUUGUCGCGUCGGGAGUGAAAUCCACUGGCUUAACUGGUGGCUUGCUUUCGAUACGGGCAGACUGGAGGUAUGCAGGGGAGAACGGAAUUCCUGGUGUAGCGGUGAAAUGCGCAGAUAUCAGGAGGAACACCGGUGGCGAAGGCGGCAUCCUGGACCGGCACUGACGCUGAGGAGCGAAAGCCAGGGGAGCAAACGGG
rnacentral:rRNA from 1 species